rnacentral:misc_RNA from 1 species
GCAAACUUGGUCAUUUAGAGGAAGUAAAAGUUGUAACAAGGUUUCCGUAGGUGAACCUGCGGAAGGAUCAUUAACAAAUCCAAUAAUUGUGGGAGGGGGAAACCUCUCUUGCAAAUAUUAAACCGCCAAUUCUUUUGGGGAUUGGUUGGCUAAAAUAAAUGCAUGUUAUGUUGACAGUGUGUGAAUUAUUAAAUUUAUUGACAACUUUUAACAAUGGAUCUCUAGGCUCUUGCAUCGAUGAAGAACGCAGC